rnacentral:rRNA from 2 species
GGAAGGCAGCAGGCACGCAAAUUGCCCAAUCCCGGCACGGGGAGGUAGUGACGAAAAAUAACGACGCUGGACUCUUCGAGACCCAGUCGUCGGAAUGAGUACGCUCUAAACCCUCUAGCGAGGACCUACUGGAGGGCAAGACUAAUGCCAGCCGCUGCGGUAAUUUUAGCUCCAGUGGCGUAUACUAAAAUUGUUGCGGUUAAAAAGCUCGUAGUCGGACAUCCGCUCUGUACGCAGGGGGCCGCUAGCGCGGUCGUCCAUGCGCAACCGGCAUGUUGCCCUUCACGGAGGUGGAUUUUAAAAGGUCUGCCGAAGUGGAAGGCGGUGGAUCGCUUUGCGAAAAUUAGAGUGCUCCAAGCAGGCGUGCAAGCUCGAAUAGUAACGCACGGAACGAUGGAAGACGACCCCGGCUCUCGGUUCUUUGGCGUGGAGGGCCCGGGGUGAUGAUCAAUAGGAGCAGACGGGGGCAUUCGUAUUCCGGCGCUAGAGGUGAAAUUCUUGGACCGCCGGAAGACGACCCACUGCGAAAGCAUUUGCCAAGAAUGCUUCCCUUGACCAAGAACUAGAGUUCGAGGCUCAAAGAAGAUUAGAUACCUUUGUAGUUCCGACCCCAAACGAUACCGGCCAGUGAUCCGGCUGCGUACGUGAGUGACGCGCCGGGCAGCUCUUCCGGGAAACCUGAGUUCAGGCUCC